GGAACCUUAGGUUGGCGGCGUUUUCAAGUGCUAGAUCAGAAUCGUGUCCAUUUUCAUCAUCUCGAGCUGCUUCAUACCAUACGAUCCAAGCAAUACCAAGAGAGUGCAGCGGCAGCCGAAUUUCGAGCAGAGAUAGAGCUCAGGGAAGAAUCCCCGCCGUCGUUUUCAGUCAAAAAAUCCUUGAGAAAAACUCCGUCCACCGAUCGCCGUCGCGGAAGCAUCUGCUCACUACAGAGCAAAAGCAA
rnacentral:misc_RNA from 1 species